GAUGAACGCUGGCGGCGUGCCUAAUACAUGCAAGUCGAGCGAAUGGAUUAAGAGCUUGCUCUUAUGAAGUUAGCGGCGGACGGGUGAGUAACACGUGGGUAACCUGCCCAUAAGACUGGGAUAACUCCGGGAAACCGGGGCUAAUACCGGAUAACAUUUUGAACCGCAUGGUUCGAAAUUGAAAGGCGGCUUCGGCUGUCACUUAUGGAUGGACCCGGGUCGCAUUAGCUAGUUGGUGAGGUAACGGGUAACCAAGGCAACGAAACGUAGCCGACCUGAGAGGGUGGUCGGCCACACUGGGACUGAGAAACGGCCCAGACUCCUACGGGAGGCAGCAGUAGGGAAUCUUCCGCAAUGGACGAAAGUCUGACGGAGCAACGCCGCGUGAGUGAUGAAGGCUUUCGGGUCGUAAAACUCUGUUGUUAGGGAAGAACAAGUGCUAGUUGAAUAAGCUGGCACCUUGACGGUACCUAACCAGAAAGCCACGGCUAACUACGUGCCAGCCGCCGCCGUAA
rnacentral:rRNA from 1 species